CACUAGGGUGGCAGGAGCCCUCAGAAAACUUGGGGCCCCCCCUUUGA
rfam:Hepacivirus hominis isolate GT8-3 polyprotein gene, complete cds